CGUAGGGUGCGAGCGUUAAUCGGAAUUACUGGGCGUAAAGCGUGCGCAGGCGGUUUUGUAAGACAGGCGUGAAAUCCCCGGGCUCAACCUGGGAACUGCGCUUGUGACUGCAAGGCUAGAGUACGGCAGAGGGGGUGGAAUUCCACGUGUAGCAGUGAAAUGCGUAGAGAUGUGGAGGAACACCAAUGGCGAAGGCAGCCCCCUGGGUCGAUACUGACGCUCAUGCACGAAAGCGUGGGUAGCAAACAGGAUUAGAUACCCUGGUAGUCCACGCCCUAAACGAUGUCAACUAGGUGUUGGGUGGGUAAAACCAUUUAGUACCGGAGCUAACGCGUGAAGUUGACCGCCUGGGAGUACGGCCGCAAGGUUA
rnacentral:rRNA from 1 species